UUGCCUCAGCCUCCCAAAGUGCUGGGAUUACAGGUGUGAGCCACCACACCUGGCCUGCAAAUGGCUUUUUGAUGAACCCCAUGUGUGCAGCGUUGCUCCCCAACGUCCCAAGGCUCGCUGGAGAACAUCCUCACUCAGCCAGGAGGAGGCGCUCUGUCCAGGUUUGGAGAGGUGAACACAUUUCCCAGUGGAAAACCAAAGCUGAAGACGGUAUUUCAGCCUGAAUUCUAAGCCACCUCUUUGAGAUUUACUCCUUUUUCCCUGGGCAUCUCCUAUGUGUACAUGAGAGACAGGGUCUCACUCUGUUGUCCAGGCUGGAGAGUG